AGGAGGAGGAGGAAGAAGAAGAAGAAGAAGAGAUUAAAGAGAAGAGUUGAGUCCUGGACAGUUGCUCAGGGUGGGGAUGCCGGGCUCCCUCAGUAAGGCAGCGCUUGUUUUAACUGAAAAUCCCCGUCACAGAGGCAGAGGACUUGUUGAAACACGGGAGAAAUCUCAGAGAGAGACUCCCUGUCAGUCCCCGGAAAGGGCACCCAGGCCCCUUCUGGCACGGGAAAGCUGCUUUCUGCAAACAGGGCUCCCCUGUUGGGCUGAAUUGUCUGGGACUCUGAUUUAUCCGGAGGUCUCUCCCUUGAAGGUCCCCAGCCAUUCUAGGACUCCAGGAGCAGGUUUACUCCUGGGCAAAUGUCACCUCCUCCUCACACUUAGGUGAGGCCAUGGGACCACAUGGAACCAAGAGAAUACUUUUUGACUCAACUGUGCUGGUGUUUUCAUAAAUAAAGCACUUAAAAAAGAAUGCCUGACUUUCUAAGAGACUGCUCUGCCCCUUAGAACAAUGUAAUAAUUAAACCCCUUACGCUUCAGAGUUUCAAAACUAGUCAGACCUUAACAUCAGUGUGAAACUUAG